rnacentral:rRNA from 1 species
CUAAGAAUCUUGCGCAAUGGGCGAAAGCCUGACGCAGCAAUUCCGCGUGGGGGACGAAGGCCCUCGGGUCGUAAACCCCUUUUGUGAGGGAAGAAGUUCUGACGGUACCUCACGAAUAAGACACGGCUAACUACGUGCCAGCAGCCGCGGUAAUACGAAGGUGUCGAGCGUUGUCCGGAUUUAUUGGGCGUAAAGAGCCCGCAGGCGGCUUGGUAAGUUCGAGGUGAAAUCUCCCGGCUCAACUGGGAGGGUGCCUCGAAAACUAUCAGGCUUGAGGCAGGGAGAGGGAUGUGGAAUUCCCGGUGUAGUGGUGAAAUGCGUAGAUAUCGGGAGGAACACCAGUGGCGAAGGCGGCAUCCUGGCCCUGUCCUGACGCUCAGGGGCGAAAGCGUGGGGAGCAAACC